GCCGAAGCAGCCACAGACCCAGCACUCAGGUCCCUGUGUCCAGGAGGCAGAGGUUUUCAGAAGGAAGGUGUGGCUUUAAGUCCCAGAUGUCCCCACCUGUGAAUCUGAAACAUGGACAAGGAAACCUGAGUCUCCUCUGAAGAAGGCAAAGGAGAGACCCACCCAAACUGCUGCAGGAGCAAAUGUGAUAAGAGCGUUUGAGAAAGAAGGAGCACAUCACAGGCUGUGUUCUGCAAAGCUGGGCAUUUCCCCACCCUCCGCAGGGACCUGCCAGCUCCAGCCCAGCCCGCCUGUGCAUCCCAGCUCCUCCAUCGGACCUGAAGCAGUCGCUGCCCUCAGAAAUGCCGCUGGGUCCCAGGAUGACCAGAUGCCCUCUUGUCUGCCCAGUCUGGAGGAGGCGCUGCCCAGAGGAUACUAGGGUAGCGCUAAGGGCCUCUGGACCAUGCCGAGACCACACAGCAUGCAGGCUGGUGAGGUCGACCCACAUCAUUGAUCCAGAUGUUAUCAAAGCCAGCCACACCCUCCAAGAAAUAACACCGAUAAACAAAACUCUUGCUGAUACCUUUCUGCCAUAAAGAACGGAUCCCACACUUCAUCACGUGAGGCUUCUGUUGCCGCAGGAUCAGCCCAGGACCAGUCUAUGUGCAAUGACCCACCUCUGUAUGCUACUCACAUGAAGACAGAGAAUGUGAAACUAGGGGUGGGGGGUGCUCUGCACCCCUGCUGUUCUCUUCCGCUAUAGUUCAGAUGUCUUAGUCAGGAUUGUCACCUGGACAGUGUUUUCAAAUUCUGGAAAUCCUCUGAGCCCUGUGUUCAUUUCCCAUAUUAAAUAAAUCUACGCUGGAUUUCUUAUGCAUUAAUAUCUUAAAUUUCAAAUCCCAUAAAGAUGCAAGAGAAAUAAUUAGACUGAUGUUUUUAUAGACAUAGAUGAAAAUGAGAAAGAAAUCAGGAGAUUUACAGCCUGUAAAUAUAGACCUAGAAACGAAGCUAUAUGUUGUCAGAUCUGCC
rnacentral:lncRNA from 1 species